rnacentral:rRNA from 1 species
UAAGCAUAUCAGUAAGCGGAGGAAAANGAAACUAACCAGGANUCUCCCAGUAACGGCGAGUGAACGGAGAUUAGCCCAUCAUCGAAGUCUAUUCACAGUUGUGAACAGGACAAUGUGAUGUUCGGGCAUGUGCCUGGGAUCGUUGGCCUGCUUUAAGUCCAAAUCCGAUUGCGGCUUGGCAUGUUCUCCAUAGAGGGUGAAAGCCCCGUGCUAGCAGGUUUUUUCUGUUCUUUCAACGGUCCCCAGACGCGCAUGCUAUCGAGUCGGAUUGCUUGAGAAUGCAGUCCAAAGCGGGUGGUAAACUCCAUCCAAGGCUAAAUACUGGCGCGAGUCCGAUAGUAAACAAGUACCGUGAGGGAAAGUUGAAAAGUACUCUGAAGAGAGAGUUAAUAGUACGUGAAACCGCUUGAAGGGAAUCGUAUGGAGUCAAGCUUCGUGCUUGGAAAAUUAGCAUCCGAUCAUGUAUUGUGUCAGGAUAUGAGGCAAUGCAACUUGGAAUGAGUUGGACGCAUCCUGUGCGUUACAAGGCGUUCCGGGGAGCCCGUUUGUCUAUGCUUCUAUCUCCUUGAUCGUAUGGGAAUUUUUCUGUGCACAAAUCACGGUCCAUAGCGUUAUGUAUAUUGUGAUUGCCUAACAGUGCCUUUGUCAAUGCAAAUUGGCGGGGUGCUGGAUGGAAGGUGUUCCAACUUGGCUCGUCCGUAGUUGGUUAUUAUUGUUGUUCGGUAUCUGACCGUCUGGCAAUCAUGAUGCUAUAUCUACNNWNNNNNAUGGAUUGUGUUCAAUGGUUAACCUACAUGGUUGGCUGUUGUCAAGAUCGUGAU